GGAUAAAUAGCGCAGUUGCCUGUUAAGCAAUUGGUCGUUGGUUCGAAUCCAACACCA
rnacentral:tRNA from 1 species